UACGAAGGGUGCAAGCGUUACUCGGAAUUACUGGGCGUAAAGCGUGCGUAGGUGGUUUGUUAAGUCUGAUGUGAAAGCCCUGGGCUCAACCUGGGAAUUGCAUUGGAUACUGGCAGGCUAGAGUGCGGUAGAGGGUAGUGGAAUUCCCGGUGUAGCAGUGAAAUGCGUAGAGAUCGGGAGGAACAUCCGUGGCGAAGGCGACUACCUGGACCAGCACUGACACUGAGGCACGAAAGCGUGGGGAGCAAACGGGG
rnacentral:rRNA from 1 species